GAUGAACGCUGGCGGCGUGCCUAAUACAUGCAAGUUGAGCGAACAGAUGAGGAGCUUGCUCCUCUGACGUUAGCGGCGGACGGGUGAGUAACACGUGGAUAACCUACCUAUAAGACUGGGAUAACUUCGGGAAACCGGAGCUAAUACCGGAUAAUAUAUUGAACCGCAUGGUUCAAUAGUGAAAGACGGUUUUGCUGUCACUUAUAGAUGGAUCCGCGCCGCAUUAGCUAGUUGGUAAGGUAACGGCUUACCAAGGCAACGAUGCGUAGCCGACCUGAGAGGGUGAUCGGCCACACUGGAACUGAGACACGGUCCAGACUCCUACGGGAGGCAGCAGUAGGGAAUCUUCCGCAAUGGGCGAAAGCUUGACGGAGCAACGCCGCGUGAGUGAUGAAGGUCUUCGGAUCGUAAAACUCUGUUAUUAGGGAAGAACAAAUGUGUAAGUAACUAUGCACGUCUUGACGGUACCUAAUCAGAAAGCCACGGCUAACUACGUG
rnacentral:rRNA from 1 species